AUUGAACGCUGGCGGCAUGCUUUACACAUGCAAGUCGAACGGUAACAGGCCGCAAGGUGCUGACGAGUGGCGAACGGGUGAGUAAUGCAUCGGAACGUGCCCAGUCGUGGGGGAUAACUACUCGAAAGAGUAGCUAAUACCGCAUACGAUCUAUGGAUGAAAGCGGGGGACCGUAAGGCCUCGCGCGAUUGGAGCGGCCGAUGUCAGAUUAGGUAGUUGGUGGGGUAAAGGCUCACCAAGCCAACGAUCUUUAGCUGGUCUGAGAGGACGACCAGCCACACUGGGACUGAGACACGGCCCAGACUCCUACGGGAGGCAGCAGUGGGGAAUUUUGGACAAUGGGCGCAAGCCUGAUCCAGCAAUGCCGCGUGCAGGAAGAAGGCCUUCGGGUUGUAAACUGCUUUUGUACGGAACGAAACGGCUCUGGUUAAUACCCGGGGCUAAUGACGGUACCGUAAGAAUAAGCACCGGCUAACUACGUG
rnacentral:rRNA from 1 species